rnacentral:rRNA from 1 species
AACGCUGGCGGCGUGCCUAAUACAUGCAAGUCGAGCGAACCGAUAAGGAGCUUGCUCCUUUGACGUUAGCGGCGGACGGGUGAGUAACACGUGGGUAACCUACCUAUAAGACUGGGAUAACUUCGGGAAACCGUAGCUAAUACCGGAUAACAUUUGGAACCGCAUGGUUCUAAAGUGAAAGAUGGUUUUGCUAUCACUUAUAGAUGGACCCGCGCCGUAUUAGCUAGUUGGUAAGGUAACGGCUUACCAAGGCGACGAUACGUAGCCGACCUGAGAGGGUGAUCGGCCACACUGGAACUGAGACACGGUCCAGACUCCUACGGGAGGCAGCAGUAGGGAAUCUUCCGCAAUGGGCGAAAGCCUGACGGAGCAACGCCGCGUGAGUGAUGAAGGGUUUCGGCUCGUAAAACUCUGUUAUUAGGGAAGAACAAAUGUGUAAGUAACUGUGCACGUCUUGACGGUACCUAAUCAGAAAGCCACGGCUAACUACGUG